GCGUAUAGAGUAGAUUGUGUUACCUAGGGAGAUCGUAUAUCCUUGUUUCCUUGCAGAUCCUUAGGAGAGGGUGAAGGAGGUCAAGCGUCCUCCUCUCUAGUGGUGAUCCACACAGCAGGGCUGCGAUAACGCUCCUCAAAACUGUAGGCCUACUCUGAGGUGAAGAGUGGGAGGAGAAUAGGAGAGGCAAGCAAAGGCUUUAGCCUAUGAGGCUCUGAAUCCCUC
rnacentral:lncRNA from 1 species